CCUACGGGUGGCAGCAGUGAGGAAUAUUGGUCAAUGGACGAGAGUCUGAACCAGCAAAGUCGCGUGAAGGAUGACUGCCCUCUGGGUGGUAAACUUCUUUUAUAAAGGAAUAAAACGAGGCAAGUGUGCCUUUUUGCUUGUACUUUAUGAAUAAGGAUAGACUAACUCAGUGCCAGCAGCCGCGGUAAUACGGAGGAUCCGAGCGUUAUCCGGAUUUAUUGGGUUUAAAGGGAGCGUAGAUGGGUUGUUAAGUCAGUUGUGAAAGUUUGCGGCUCAACCGUAAAAUUGCAAUUGAUACUGGCAGUCUUGAGUACAGUUGAGGUAGGCGGAAUUCGUGGUGUAGCGGUGAAAUGCGUAGAUAUCACGAAGAACCCCGAUUGCGAAGGCAGCUUACUAAACUGUGACUGACACUGAUGCGCGAAAGUGUGGGUAUCAAACAGGAUUAGAUACCCCAGUAGUC
rnacentral:rRNA from 1 species